rnacentral:tRNA from 1 species
GAGAGCCUAGUAUAAGCGCUAAUAAAUAUGGCUACUUUCCAAGUAGCGGAUCCUUUAGUAGGGGGGCUCUCA